UUUGGAUAUGACGAGUUACAACCAUCUUGUCUCACUCUUGUCAUAAAUCUCAUCGUUUUGGGUCACAACAGCAGCACAUUAGAAGAAGAACGAUAAUGGAGAUCAAACCUGGUUUGUCAGCACUCAUUACGGGUGGUGCCUCUGGAAUCGGCAAAGGUCUUGCCCUGGCCCUUGCAGAGAAGGGUGUAUUUAUUACAAUUGUUGAUUUUGCUGAAGAAAGGGGAAGACAAGUUGCGAGCCUUGUUCAGAAAAUUAACACCAAGUUUCAUUCUAAGUUGGAAUUUCCAUCUGCCAUGUUUGUGAAAUGCGAUGUGACUAAUGCAAGAGAUCUAGCUGCUGCAUUUGAGAAGCACUUUUUGACAUAUGGAGGACUAGACAUUUGUAUUAACAGUGCUGGGAUUGGUAAUCCUAUACCAUUGCAUAAGGAUCAAACGGAUGGCACUCAUUCAUGGAGACACACUGUUAAUGUGAAUUUGACUUCCGUUAUAGAUAGCACUCGCCUUGCGAUUAAAACCAUGGAAGCUGCCAAAAGGCCUGGUGUGAUUAUCAACAUGGGUUCUGCUUCUGGUCUUUAUCCAAUGGUUGCUGAUCCAAUCUACAGUGGCUCUAAAGGUGGUGUCGUUAUGUUUUCUAGAGCACUUCGUCUAUACAAACGUCAAGGAAUUCGAGUCAACGUGCUUUGCCCUGAGUUUGUUGAAACUGACAUGGGCUUAAUGAUGGAAUCCAAUUUCAUCAAGUUGGUAGGGGGCUUUGUACCUAUGGAAAUGGUGGUUAAAGGUGCUUUCGAGCUCAUUAUGGAUGAAAGCAAAGCUGGCCAUUGCCUAUGGAUUACAAAUCGUCGGGGUAUGGAGUACUGGCCUACCCCAUCUGAAGAAGCAAAGUUCUUGAUACGUUCCUCUCGUUUCAGGAAAAGAUCCGAUUUCCAAGCUCCUUCAAUUAAACUUCCUGAGAGUUUUGAGAAAAUAGUUGUUAAGACCUUGACUCACAACUUUCGGAAUGCUACCAGCAUAGUGAGAGCUCCACUGAGAUUACCUGUCAAACCAAAUCAUGUUCUUGUUAAGAUAAUUUAUGCUGGUGUGAAUGCUAGUGAUGUAAAUUUUAGCUCAGGCCGCUAUUUUGGUGGCAACAACAAUGAUACUGCUUCUCGUCUUCCAUUUGAUGCUGGAUUUGAGGCCGUAGGAAUAAUUGCAGCAGUUGGGGAUUCUGUCACUGACUUGAAAAUUGGCAUGCCUUGUGCAGUCAUGACUUUUGGAGGCUAUGCUGAAUUCACAAUGAUUCCUUCAAAACAUGCACUUCCAGUGCCUAGACCAGAUCCCGAAGUUGUUGCCAUGCUUACAUCAGGAUUAACUGCCUCAAUCUCUCUAGAAAAGGCAGGACAGAUGGAAUCAGGAAAAGUGGUCCUUGUUACUGCUGCUGCCGGAGGAACUGGGCAAUUUGCUGUUCAGCUAGCAAAAUUAGCAGGAAAUACCGUGGUUGCAACUUGUGGAGGUCCGGCAAAGGCCAAGCUUUUGAAAGAGCUGGGAGUUGACAGAGUCAUAGAUUAUCAUAGUGAAGAUAUAAAAACGGUUUUAAGGAAAGAAUUCCCAAAAGGGAUUGACAUCAUCUAUGAGUCUGUCGGUGGUGACAUGUUAAACUUGUGCUUGAAUGCUUUGGCAGUCCAUGGACGACUCAUUGUUAUUGGCAUGAUUUCUCAGGUUUUUCUUUAUUUAAUUUAUCUUCUCAUGCUACUUAUUUUUGUCCUCCUCAGCACUUGUGAAAGUUUCACUGCAUCUAUAGUAUACUGCACAACUAUCCUUCUAUUGAAGCGAUAGUACCAACUCAUUUAGUGAGUAUAAAUUCAUGUAAUACCUUGGAUUUUAUCCUCAUUUAAGUAUGUACAGAGGAAAUUAUUAGACUUUAGUUAUUGUAGUAUUUGUUGAGAUGUCCUACAUUAGUUAGAAAUAGAGUCAGAAUACUUUUUAUAUGAGUUAAGGCAGUCCUCCUCUUAAAAGCGAGCCUUUGGGAGUGAGUUAGGCCUAAGUUUCUUAACAUAGUAUUAGAGCCAAUUCAUGUUGAACAUUCGGUUGUCCACAUACGUCCAAUCCUGUUGGAUCCAUCCCUACAAGUUUCACACACCAGAUGUCCAGCUCUAAGCGUGAGGGAGGUUGGGCUGCCCACUGCAAAUUUCACGCUACAGAUGUGAGGAGUGUGUAUUGAGAUGUCCCACAUUGGUUAGAAAUAGAGAGAGAAUACUCCUUACAAGAGCUAAGACAGUACUCCUCUUAUGAGUUAGCUUUUAGGAGUGAGUUAAGCCUAAGUUUCUUAACAGUAUCAUUCACUAUCAAACCCACAAGUUAUAUGGAACAUGGAAUUCUGUGACCCAUCUCAGAUAUCUGGAUUGAAAUUUGGAUUUUAGCUAGCUAUACUAUUGCAAUAUAGAUUUUCUUUCUUUCCUUUUUUAUUGUUAGACUUUCUAUUCCAUUUAUCUGUUAAGUUUAUCAUAAGAGUGUACUAUGAAGCUAUUACCCGGUGUGAAGAGUAGUGUGCUGGAUUAUAAAUUGCAGUAAGCUGUUUCUGUCCUCUUAAAGAAAUAUAUUGUCAAUGAACAUAAUUGAUUCAUAUUUGUUGUUUUUAUUCAUACCAGUAUCAAGGAGAUAAGGGUUGGACGCCAUCAAACUAUCCUGGACUAUGUGAGAAGCUCUUAGCGAAGAGCCAAACUGUGGCUGGCUUUUUCCUAGUGCAAUAUAGUCACAUGUGGCAAGAACAUCUUGACAGGCUAUUUAAUCUUCACUCAAUGGGAAAGCUGAAGGUUGCUCUUGAUCCAAAGAGAUUUAUAGGCCUGCAUUCUGUUGCAGACGCUGUUGAGUAUCUCCAUUCAGGCAAAAGUGUUGGAAAGGUUGUUGUCUCCGUGGACCCAACCUUCCUUCAUCCAGUGGCCAAAUUGUGAGUCAAGACAUGUCAAAUGACCUCACACAAACGACAUUCCAUCCUUUUCAAAAUAAAAGAGAGGUUAAGCUUGCAGCUCUUAUCCAGAUAUUGUUGUUGAAUGCUUCUGAAAUUGGUUGCAUCAGUAACAUUCUCAAUGCUUAUACGAUUUAGUGUUUAAAAUGGGUAAUGACCAGUAAACAAUUGUCUAUUUUGACUAGUGGUGAAAACUGGCCACUAUGUCCUUUAUUUGCUUCAUUGUUACUUCAAAAGUUGAAACUGUUGUUCAAAUGAUUGCUAACUUGGCUCUAAAGUGUAAACUUGCCUUCAACCUGGCCCCAAGGUAUGUGUUUUAUGAAACAUGAUCUUUGGCUAUACAACAAACUUGUCUGUUACAAAGACAGGAAACAAGUUGCCAAAUAAUAAUAAUAAUAUUUUUUUAAACUUAU